UAGGGAAUCUUCCGCAAUGGACGAAAGUCUGACGGAGCAACGCCGCGUGAGUGAAGAAGGAUUUCGGUUCGUAAAACUCUGUUGUUAGGGAAGAAAAAAUGUAUAGUAACUAUAUACAAAAGAGACGGUACCUAACCAGAAAGCCACGGCUAACUACGUGCCAGCAGCCGCGGUAAUACGUAGGUGGCAAGCGUUGUCCGGAAUUAUUGGGCGUAAAGCGCGCGCAGGUGGUUUAGAAAGUCUGAUGUGAAAGCCCACGGCUCAACCGUGGAGGGUCAUUGGAAACUAAUAUACUUGAGUGCAGGAGAGAAAAGUGGAAUUCCUGGUUUAGCGGUGAAAUGCGUAGAGAUUAGGAGGAACACCGGUGGCGAAAGCGGCUUUUUGGCCUGCAACUGACACUGAGGCGCGAAAGCGUGGGGAGCAAACAGG
rnacentral:rRNA from 1 species